rnacentral:rRNA from 1 species
GAUCCUGGCUCAGAUUGAACGCUGGCGGCAGGCUUAACACAUGCAAGUCGAACGGUAACAUAAAGAAGCUUGCUUCUUUGAUGACGAGUGGCGGACGGGUUAGUAAUGCUUGGGAAUCUAGCUUAUGGAGGGGGGAUAACUACGGGAAACUGUAGCUAAUACCGCGUAGAAUCGAGAGAUGAAAGUGUGGGACCUUCGGGCCACAUGCCAUAGGAUGAGCCCAAGUGGGAUUAGGUAGUUGGUG